CCUACGGGAGGCAGCAGUGAGGAAUAUUGGUCAAUGGGCGCGAGCCUGAACCAGCCAAGUAGCGUGAAGGAUGACUGCCCUACGGGUUGUAAACUUCUUUUAUAAAGGAAUAAAGUGAGGCACGUGUGCCUUUUUGUAUGUACUUUAUGAAUAAGGAUCGGCUAACUCCGUGCCAGCAGCCGCGGUAAUACGGAGGAUCCGAGCGUUAUCCGGAUUUAUUGGGUUUAAAGGGAGCGUAGAUGGGUUGUUAAGUCAGUUGUGAAAGUUUGCGGCUCAACCGUAAAAUUGCAAUUGAUACUGAAAGUCUUGAGUACAGUUGGGGUAGGCGGAAUUCGUGGUGUAGCGGUGAAAUGCUUAGAUAUCACGAAGAACCCCGAUUGCGAAGGCAGCUUACUAAACUGUGACUGACAUUGAGGCUCGAAAGUGUGGGUAUCAAACAGGAUUAGAUACCCGGGUAGU
rnacentral:rRNA from 1 species